UGAGGAAUUUCCGCAAUGGGCGAAAGCCUGACGGAGUAAUACCGCGUGCGGGAGGAAGGUCUAUUGACUGUAAACCGCUUUUAUUAAGAAAGAAUUCUGACGGUACUUAAUGAAUAAGCCUCGGCUAACUCCGUGCCAGCAGCCGCGGUAAUACGGAGGAGGCAAGCGUUAUCCGGAAUUAUUGGGCGUAAAGCGUCCGUAGGUGGUUUUGCCAGUCUGCUGUCAAAGCCCGUGGCUCAACCACGGAAAGGCAGUGGAAACUACAAAACUCGAGUGCAGUAGGGGCAGAGGGAAUUCCCAGUGUAGCGGUGAAAUGCGUAGAGAUUGGGAAGAACACCCGUGGCGAAAGCGCUCUGCUGGACUGCAACUGACACUCAGGGACGAAAGCUAGGGGAGCGAAUGGGAUUAGAUACCCCAGUAGUCCUAGCCGUAAACGAUGGAUACUAGAUGUUGUCUGUAUCGACCCGGACAGUGUCGUAGCUAACGCGUUAAGUAUCCCGCCUGGGGAGUACGCUCGCAAGA
rnacentral:rRNA from 1 species